AGAACGAACGCUGGCGGCGUGGAUAAGACAUGCAAGUCGAACGGAAUUUUAGGGGCUUGCUCCUGAAGUUUAGUGGCGAACGGGUGCGUAACACGUGAGUAAUCUGCCGGGAAGUGGGGGAUAGCUCGUCGAAAGGCGAAUUAAUACCGCAUGUGGCCAACGAGGACAUCCUCGUGACGCCAAAGUCGUAAGACGCUUCCUGAUGAACUCGCGGCCUAUCAGCUAGUUGGUGAGGUAACGGCUCACCAAGGCUUUGACGGGUAGCUGGUCUGAGAGGACGACCAGCCACACUGGAACUGAGACACGGUCCAGACACCUACGGGUGGCAGCAGUCGAGAAUUUUUCACAAU
rnacentral:rRNA from 1 species